UGGGGAAUAUUGGACAAUGGGGGGAACCCUGAUCCAGCCAUGCCGCGUGUGUGAAGAAGGCCUUAUGGUUGUAAAGCACUUUAAGCGAGGAGGAGGGUACUGGUAUUAAUACUACCAGCUACUGGACGUUACUCGCAGAAUAAGCACCGGCUAACUCUGUGCCAGCAGCCGCGGUAAUACAGAGGGUGCGAGCGUUAAUCGGAUUUACUGGGCGUAAAGCGUGCGUAGGCGGCUAAUUGAGUCGGAUGUGAAAUCCCUGAGCUUAACUUAGGAAUUGCAUUCGAUACUGGUCAGCUAGAGUAUGGGAGAGGAUGGUAGAAUUCCAGGUGUAGCGGUGAAAUGCGUAGAGAUCUGGAGGAAUACCGAUGGCGAAGGCAGCCAUCUGGCCUAACACUGACGCUGAGGUACGAAAGCAUGGGGAGCAAACAGG
rnacentral:rRNA from 1 species